rnacentral:lncRNA from 7 species
GUACCCGAGGAGGAAAAUGCAGACCUAACCACUGUGCCUGGCAGUAUCCCUCCUCGCCUUGGCUGUUUUUGCAGGACAUCUGUGGCACCCUCAACAUCACUGCUUUGGGCAGCUGUUCUCCUCUUGCUUACAACCUCAGUAGUCUCUGAGUGCUUUAUCACAUGUUAUGACUGGGAGCGCACAUUUAUAACUUUAAGUUAUCAGACGGCUCCUGUAUUCCUCCUUAGCAAUUUUUAGGUCCGUGGCAGUCCAGCUAGCCUUGAGAGCUGGCUGUGGACUGAAUCUCCUAUAUGCGUCCGAGUGGUUAGUAAGCAAAUACAGUGAAGUUAGGAAUGACUCCUUUUGGAGUGAGGAUGCACAGCCUUGGACCAUUCAAUACCAACAAGUUCUUUACUAUGAGAAUGGUGAGGUGCUGGAACAGGCUGCCCCGAGGGGUUGAGGAUGCCCCGCCCCUGGGGGUGUUCAAGGCCAGGUUGGAUGGGACCCUUGGCAGCCUGGUCUAGUAUGAAAUGUGGAGGUUGGUGGCCCUGCCUGUGGCGGGGAGGAUUGGAGCUUCAUGAUCCCGAUGGUCCCUUCCAACCCAAGCCAUUCUAUGAGUCUGCAAUACCCGAUCCAAGGUCACUAUUGCCUAAGUCACUAGAUCACAGGAGGAGAUUGGGUUGUUCAGCAGGACCUGCCUUUCAGGAACCCUGGCCUUGCACAUGCCGAGUGGUCUCACUCAACACACUCUAUUUCUUUUCUGCAAAGUUCUUAAUUGCAUGCUGUUUUGCUACUUGGGCAUAAUUCAGGGGAGUACUUUACAUAAAUCAAAUAUAUCUUGAAAUAUACUUUGACCGUUCCGUUUUUUCCUCCUAGAUAUACAUAGGCAUAUCUGUGGUCAGUAGCGAGGUCGAGUAGAAGGAAUAUACAGUCUUUUGAGAUCAGUGUGUUCAGCUUUCCUUUCCAUUACCCAUCACCUAAGUCCUGUGCAUUCAUGUUGUCUGAGUUGUCUGAGGUCUUUUGGAAAAUUCCUAGUGCAGUUCAGAGGUGGGCUCUUUGUUGUUGGUGUUUUUUUUUUUUCCCAAUUUGUUUUUUGUUAUUAUUUUUAUAAUUACCUGAUAGUACCUCAUGUGGCUUUCACAGAAUUAACAGCCUAAAAAAAGGAUGUAGGAGGAAAGCAACAACCAAGAAAAAUCCCAACAGCAUCAACUUGAGGCAAGGGCAGCUCAUGAUAGAAGUGGACAGUAUCACAGUGUGAGUGAAGGUCAGCGUAGGAGCAGCUGCUGAUGGGAGGAAGGAAGUCCAGGCUCAUGGACUCUGGAGCAUCUCCCAGUACAGUACCAGAGGAGGCAGGAAUGAUGUUGCAGAAGAACAUGAGAAGCUCCCCAGCAGGAAGCCACAAACUCUGCAGAAAGCUACAGGAGAGGUGGAACAUGUGUGGAUGCCCAGGAGGAAGUCCAGCCCCAGUAUUUGAGCAGUGCCUGGCCAUGGAGAACUGCGGCCCAAGAACAGAGCUAUUCUGCCUUUGCCAAGAAGGACUUGUCUGUCCUUGUAAAAAGCAGAAAGCUGGCUCAUCCAAAUGCUUGCUGAUUGCUUGGGAGCUCAAAUCCUUCUGGCCUCCAACCUGGAGGCAGGCUGGGGGCAAUGUCUCCUUGGUCUGAUCCUGCGGUGCCUGAGCGAGAGCUGGCUGCGUGAGAAUGAUCUUAAUUUCUUUGUUAUUUUAUUUCAAGUAACCCCAUUGGGUGACCCUACUGUUGGUUUCUUAAAAUUUGGAUCUAGGAGGUGACCACACCCUUUGCCUAUGAUGAAUGCACAGAAGUGAUGCAAGUGCAUGCUGAGUUCACAACCAUUGCUGGGGUGGGAACGUUUGUGCCACAGCUGGUGAGUAGAGCUGAUGCUCUGGUGAGCAUGCUGCACACAGAGACUGAGCUGUGAGCUUUCCUUGAGAAAGAUCGCCUUGUGAGUGCCCAUCAGAAGCACUACUGCGGCAUGUGUGUGAGCUGGGCACAGCUUAGGCUAACCAGGCUGAACAGGGUUCCUUUCCAAAAGGAGAUUUCAGGGAUUGAGGCAGUUGAAGAAAGAGUGAAGCCAGUUCUUUCCAACAGCGGGGGCAGUCCCUGUGGAGAGGACCCCAUGAACUUGAGCUUCCUCUGAGACAUUCCCCACCAUGUCUCAGCAAGGAGACAGACGCAGUUCCCUUUCCUGCUUUGCAUGCGGAAAGGUGUGUUGGUUUAAUCCCCUGAACUGAUGUCUGAAAGUGCCUGUCUUCUCCACCUGAGUGAAGCUGAUGCAAACCGCCUUGCAGUGAAGCGCGGCCUUGCAGAAAGGAAGGGGAGGAGCAUGGAGUGUGGCAUGGCACUGAAGAGAGGGAAAGGUGCUGAGCCAAAUGGCGAGAUCUAUGUGAAAGCUCAUGUCCAGGCUGGAGGGCUUCCUGGAGCAGAAAGUCGCAGCACAGGUGGAAGACCUUCCUCUGCAGUUGACAACCACUCCUUCUCCAAGACCAUUGUUGCAAGAAAGCGUAAGGGAGUGGACGAAGAGGGGCAAAAAGCAGAGCUGUGGCCAGACAAGAAACAAGUGAAGAUGGAGCGCAAUGGGGCAAAGGUUCAGAGCCCAUAUCAGAGCAGAGGCGGUGUGCCAGCUCCCACAGCACACCCUGGACCUACCCCAGCGCCAACUGAACAGUUCCAGACCUCGAAGCUAAGAGCAAGAGGAUGACAGCAAAAAGAGAGGAGAGCGGAAAUGCAGAAGGCUGCUCUGAGAGCUGCUGCUGCACAUGCAGAGCCCUCUGCAAUGAACAGCCUUGUGAAGAUGAUGGAGAAACUGCAACUGAAGGACUAAGUGGAGAAGCAUCAGAAGGUAGCGUCUUCGUGGCAGCAGCCCAACCUGGCACUCUGAGUCUGGUUGCAGUCCAUCAAUAAACCAUUGGAGUUAUGGAU